ensembl:lncRNA
CAAGUAGAUGACGGCUUGGCGCAUAUGCUUGAUGAAGUGUUUGACGUCGAAAAUUUGGAGAACAUGUCGUCGGGACCAGCACCCAAGACCAACAACUGACAAAAGACAGGAACAAGCACAGAAAAUAUGGAUAAGAGGAAGAGGUCCGAACUGGAGGAUGAGUCUCUGAAAGACCAGCCAGAAGAAUUCCCAACCAUCCCCUGAGGCCAUGGAGAAGCCGGACUCGGAUUCGCAUUAGGUCGGGAGGAGGCCGGUUUGACACGGCUGUUUGGAAUCCGUGACCACUGGGUGUUUGUGGAAGCUAGUCGGGUAGCAGGAGACCUUUGCAAUAAAACAAAG